AAAGUUGAACAUCAGCAGGAAGGAUCUGUGUGUUGUCAUCAAAAUGGUAAUUAUGCCUUCAUAGGAAAAUUUGGUAGGAAAAUAGUAAUGCCUGUUUUUGGGGGAAAGGGAGGUGUGCACUAAAAGGAGUUUGGACCCAUUCCUGGGAGUGGUUUCCUCAGGACAGACUAUUAGUAAGUCUCUUCCCUCACCUAAGAGACUAAGAGCAGGCACAUGGGGCUUUUUGCUUGGCUGGAGA
rnacentral:lncRNA from 1 species